rnacentral:lncRNA from 1 species
GCCGGGGAGAAGGAGCGGUGACGGACCGCGCGCCCAGGGGGACUGGGAGGCUGCGCUGGGCCCCGGGCAGGGGUAAAGUUUCCUUGUCCGCCCGGGGUUCCAGACGUGCCUGAGUCAGGGAUGGGGACCUCGGGGUCACUGCGUGCGACUGGGGGGUCCCGGAGCGGGUCUGACCUCCCUCCCCACAUCUCCAGCCUGGGCGCCCGCUGCCUGCUUGGAGGGGUGGGGGCGCGUCUAGGGGAUCCGGCUCAAGGAGAGGCGCCCCUAGCACAUCUGGGUUACUCCAUCGCGCCAGCCGGUGUCUGCAGCCUGAAAAUCUCUGGUCUUGUUCUCCCGCUAGCCGUUCAGGACUCUCUCCGCCUGCAGCCCCCGCCUCCCCCCGUACCUCCGCCAGGAUCCAAGAGGCGUCCAGAGGGGAGCCCAGGCCCUGCGCCCGCCUUCUGGUGAGGAAGAUCCCCUCCCCCUCAAGGUCCAGCCUGGGGUCAGGGUCUGUCGGCCCCCACCCCUUGCGUGGCCUGCGAGCCCCGUGGACUUCGUGGCAUGAAGUCACGCCCCCAUCCCCCCUGCAGUGGGUGAGGGCGUGUAACAGAGCGUCUCCCCGGCCGGGUGCUUGGAGAGCAGACCCGAGGCGCCCCUGGCCUGGCAUUGAACAAUACGGGUCGCCCCCGGAGGUGGCGCACGGUCCCCAGGGAAGGGCCCCGCCCUCAGGUGGGUGGCGAGGUGGCCGCCCACAGAGUAGCAGGUGCGUUGGAGGAGGGGCGCCUUGUGCGGCUGAACUUCGCGUGCAGGAGGAGAGGGCACUGGCUCUGCGGAAACAUCAGACCCGGCCAUCCCUGCAGCCGCGCCCCUGGCCCAGCCUCAGGCUCAGCCGCUGGGACACAGCCCCCGAAAACGGAGACUUCCGUCGUCGGUAAUGGAGGGCAGAGCAGAAGGGGCUGGAGAGGUCCUGAGGCCCUCCGCUUUCACGCCCCUCCCUCCAAGGCUGCAGGUCGGGCGAUGGAGCUGUCAGUCAGGAGUUCCCUGGAGCAACCCCCACUCCAGUACAGGCCUCUGGAGCCUUACAGCUCCCUUCCUAUCGACUCUCCCAUCUCCUCUGUCCCCACCCCGCACCUUCCUUCUCCUCCUCCUCCCAGCUUCUCUGAGCAGCCACUGCUCCUGCCCACCUGCCUCUCCCCUCUCUGCCCACCUCUCCUACACUCCUGAUUCCAGGUUGAGCUCAUGGCUCCUCAUACACCUGCUCUGGGACGGGCAGGAGCUCCUCCUCACUGGCUGGAGCUGUCUGUCCGCUCUGUGGGCAGUGCCUGCAAUUAGAGCUUUCAGAAUGCACAGCUGCUGCGCAGUGGCCGGUUCCGCGACAACACCUGGCCUGCUUCUGUGGCCCUCCCAGUGCUGCUGGCCCAAGCAAGCUGGAUGCAGGGACCCCCUGCACUUCCACGGCCCCCUCAAGGCCCAGGCUUCCACAGGGUCUAGCGGUCUCAAGCCUGCGGCUCUCCCUGGUGGAUUCCCGCAGCCCCUCCCUUCCACCUGCGCCCGCUGGAGAGCGCUGGUUGUGGGAACCCAGUAA